AUUGAACGCUGGCGGCAGGCCUAACACAUGCAAGUCGAACGGUAACAGGAAGAAGCUUGCUUCUUUGCUGACGAGUGGCGGACGGGUGAGUAAUGUCUGGGAAACUGCCUGAUGGAGGGGGAUAACUACUGGAAACGGUAGCUAAUACCGCAUAACGUCGCAAGACCAAAAAGGGGGACCUUCGGGCCUCUUGCCAUCGGAUGUGCCCAGAUGGGAUUAGCUAGUAGGUGGGGUAACGGCUCACCUAGGCGACGAUCCCUAGCUGGUCUGAGAGGAUGACCAGCCACACUGGAACUGAGACACGGUCCAGACUCCUACGGGAGGCAGCAGUGGGGAAUAUUGCACAAUGGGCGCAAGCCUGAUGCAGCCAUGCCGCGUGUAUGAAGAAGGCCUUCGGGUUGUAAAGUACUUUCAGCGGGGAGGAAGGGAGUAAAGUUAAUACCUUUGCUCAUUGACGUUACCCGCAGAAGAAGCACCGGAUAACUCCGU
rnacentral:rRNA from 1 species